AGGAGUAGGAAAAUGCAGGAUCCACUAAAGAGAGUAUCUUUCCUUGGGCUGGAUGUUUCACAAGACAACUCGUUGCUCUCUCAGAUCUCUGACUUUUUGUCACCCAGUCACCUCCAAAAACAAGUCAGGUAUAAAAUUCAUCCUGUUCUUAGGAAGACAAGAUCCAAAGAAGACAUGGACUUCUCUGGUUCUCCAUUUCCCACUUUUCAACAGCAACCACAAGAAACAAUCUUGACCAUGUUCAAAAAACCAAUCAUCAUGAUAUCAGUGGGAGGAAUAUUAAGUUUAAUUGGAUUCUUUAUUUUAGGAUUUACUAUCGCGGGCUAUAUCCCUCAAUACCCAUUUUUGGGAACAACUUUUUUAAGCAAUAGCUUCUGUCUUAUAGGUGUUGGAUUUACACUAAUUAUCUUCAUACAGCAAAUAAAGAUGAGAUCUGUGGCACUAAAUAUACCGGAAGACCCAGUCAUGAUAUGGAAUAGAAUUCAAAGAAGACAGAAUAGAGCAUGUACCUCUGUCAGAAGGCGGGACCCAACCCAACCCCCUAUCAUGAUGCAGAGUUUAGCCCCAACCUCUACCACAAUUCAGGAUGUAACUGAAGCUACUACUGAGCUUUAAUCAUUUGUACAUUUUAAGUUUAUGACAAUCUAAAUAUGCAGAAACUUCACUGUGGCUAAGUUUGCAGGAAUGUCCAACUUUGUAUAGAAAUGGAAUCAAACGAAAGAUAUUUGCCCUACUUCUAGGAAGUGGGUCUAGUUAUUCAUUUAGAAAAUCAAGAGAAGGUUGAAAGAACAUACAACACGAAGAUUCCUGCAGAUUCCUAAGGUAGAGAAACAGAUCCUACACAUGGUGCUGCCUUGGGGAAGAGAGAUGGGGCUCCCAUCCUUUCAACUAUGUUUCCCCAAUAAGUAUUAUGUACAUUUUUAUAUUCUCCAGCUCCUCCACAUGUGUUUCCAGCCAUGGUUGGGCUGCAGCUCAUAGAAGUUUGCUUUGCUCUGUGCUUUGAUAUGGACUUUAAAACUUGAGGCUAAACCCUGGGCCACAGCUAGACGCUCAGAUAGGUGAGGAGAUGGAAGCUCAGGCAUCUUUGAGAUCAUCUUCCCCCAGAAGACUAACCAAAUGUUCCCAUUUAGAUUUCCCCAUCAUUAGAAUUUAAUGUGUUUUACCUGUGCCUUCUCUUGUUUCUUCCAUUCUUUCCUGGAAGCAUUUUAUCUAAAGUUUUCACUUUCCAUGAAUCCUUUUUAUCUUCUCUCUCAGUUAAGACACACUGUACCUGCCACCACAAGGACUACAUCUGCUGCCUACCUGGAGACUGCAUUGAAUGCAGAAGUGUAAUUUCCAGUUUGGCAGGACCUGUGACAUCAAAUGAAAGGUUUUUGUUGAAGUUUUGGAAAAACUCUCUUGCAAGAAGUUUUAAACAUUAAAAUUCUCUUUUUAAUAAAUA